AUUAGAAAAGAGUGUCAUAUCCCAUAUAUGCUUAAUUGUCAAAUAAACAAGUUCAUUUUCUUUCCAUCCAAAUCCUCUCAAAUUUAAUCUUUUUUUUUUUUUACAGAAUAGUUAAUCUUCUUUUUAGGAAUAUCAUUGAUUAAUAUUUAAUUAUUUAUGAUUAAGGAAUUUGAGAUAUCAUCCUUGAAACAUUGUACUUAAUGAGUUUAAACUUUUGUUUAUUUUUACUUCGUAGUUGAACAUUUACUACCAAACUUUUGUUAAACUUUUGUUUAUUUUUACUUCGUAGUUGACAGUAAGUAUUGGGUCAGACCGUCUGACCAAAUACUUACUGUCAGACGGGCUGACCCAGUUAUGGAACCUCCCCUUUUUCUUUUUACUUUUGCAGUUUCAAAUCACAUCGUCAUUAAUGUUCAAUUCAAGCGACGGAAAAGCUCUAGGGAUAAGAAGAAGUACGGAACCUUUUUGUAAGAAAACUCGUUCGAACGCUUUCUUCCCGCUCCAAGAUAAGCACCCAAGCUUUUAAAUAGAACUAGAUCAGCCAGCGAAAAGGAUGUGUUCCUCUUUGAUUCUAAGGUAAUGCAAUUCACUUACUUAAAAGAAGUAAGGAAGCUUAGCUUUCUCUAAACUGGAGUUAUGCGUAAAAUUCACCAUCGUGAAGAGCAACAUCAACAAAAUUACAACUCUUACUGUUUUCCUCAAUUGAUGGUCAACCAUGUCGAAGAAAACAAACCAAGGAGAAAGAGAGAAUAAGAAGCUCCCAUUCACCAGCCAUGGUUGACCAUCAAUUCCCACUUUUGCAGAUGGUUUUGAUUCAUCAGGAGAAAUUUCCUCAAUCCACACUCGCAUAAUAUCAAAGCUGCUACUAAUCUUAGCAAGUGUGCGUGCUACUGUGUUACAAUUUCUGCUCACAUGAGAACCAUCAAAACAAGAGAAACAAGUAGCAAGAUGUAAUAUAUCUCUCACAAUGCUGCUAAAUCUGUUUUUGUCUGUUCUCUUUGCCUUCACAUAUUGAAUUAUUAGCUUUUGAUUAUCAGCUUCUAGUACCACAUUUUCGAGUCCUGCUUCCAAGGCUAUCUGCAUGGCGUGUCUUGCAGCAGCCUCAGCCUCAGCAACAUCCACAUCUCCACUUCCUUUUAUUGUGACUUGUAGAGACCAUUACAUCACCCACACUAUCCCUCAUUACUCCUCCAAGUCCAUACCAUCCACCUUCGAAAGUUGCAGCAUCUGAAUUAAUUUUGUACACGCCGAGUUGAGGUGGUUUCCACACUUUGGGAGCCACUGCUUCACUUUGAGAAAAAGGUUUCGCCAUUUCAGAGAUUUUUGUCAUCUCACGCACUAUACUAAUCGCCUUACUCAACACCCUCCUCUUGUCCCAUUAAUUUUUUGUUGAAGAUCCAAGCAUUCCUCCUCAAACAUAUUCCCCACAACAAACUCCAAAAUAUACUCCACCAAGUGCCAUCAGAGAAAGUUUUAUGGAGCGCAAUACACCAAUCUAUCAGCGAUGUAUCACUAUUGACAUCAACCACCAGAUGAAGAGGUGAUAAAUACCAGACCCUUCUUGCUUUCUCACAUGUAGCCACCAUGUGCAUGAUUGUUUCCUCUUGCUAAUUGCUAUCCACACAUAGGACAUACCUCAUCAUUACCAAUAUGUCUUUGGGACAAAAGAGCUCUAACUGGGAUGCCAUUGUUGGGAGCUUUCCAUCCAAAGUUCUCUAUUUUCGGACGAACAUUCACCUUCCACAAGAGCUUCCACACUCAGCGUUUUGUCUUCAUUAGUGGCUGAAGGGCCAGCGCUUUGUUUAUCGUUCAAUUCUGCGUAGUAGGCACUACGAAUUGUAAAGUCAUCAUGCACUAAGUAAUGCUAGUGCGGCAUGAACUGAAUUUCAUAUUUUUUUUCAGUUUUUUCACUAAGUAACCCUGAGUUUUCAGAAAAAUCACGAGAUACACCCAACUUUUUUAAAUACAAGAAGUACCCCUAAAUUUCAUAAUAA